UACGGAGGGAGCUAGCGUUGUUCGGAAUUACUGGGCGUAAAGCGCGCGUAGGCGGCUUUGUAAGUUAGAGGUGAAAGCCCGGGGCUCAACCCCGGAAUUGCCUUUAAGACUGCAUCGCUUGAAUCCGGGAGAGGUGAGUGGAAUUCCGAGUGUAGAGGUGGAAAUUCGUGAUAUUCGGAAGAACACCAGUGGCGAAGGCGGCUCACUGGACCGGCAUUGACGCUGAGGUGCGAAAGCGUGGGAGCAAACAGG
rnacentral:rRNA from 1 species